GCCAAUCAUUAUAAUGGUAGAAACAAGAGAAUAAAAUAACCCAUAUGAUAAAUCAACGUUAACCACUCUAAGAAUAUCAAAAUAUAAUCAUGUUCUUGGGAUCAACCCCAGAACAAGGGUGUUUAGCUACUCAUGUUCUAAAUCAACAUCACGGAAAUAUAAUUAAUCAUACCAAAAAUUAAUGUUGAAAUAUGAAAUGUUCAAAGAACCCUAAGAGAAGUAUUGUAAUUUCCUUUGCCUCUGCUGUACGUUUGCCAAAAGUGUCCCCAUUUGAUUUUAAGUGUUACUUUUAUGGUAGGACAAAAUUGAAUAAAAGUUGACCGUCACCGCACCACGGAGCUCAUUGCGUGCACUAGGGUCCGCACCGUGGACCCUCACUAGAAUAUGGCAUGAGAAAUAAUUCAGCCUCCACGAUACGAGGCUAUCACGGAGGCUUACUGGAAAUUGCUGUCGACUAAUAAUCCCUUAGAGUGAUAAGUACCCUAUCAUAGGGACUAAGGUACACAAAGCAGAGGCCAUUGUCCUUCCUUUCCGGCUCUUUGCCUCUUUCCUUGAUCCUGUCUUUAGUUCCAUGCUUUCCGAGCCCAUUUCCAGUAUCCUCAUGCUCAACAAAUCAGUCCCACUGCUUCCACCCACCAUUAGCUUCUCGUUAAUGCUUCCAAUUAUGUUCAAUUUCAUCAAAAGAUAUUGUACCCACGAGGACUACUAGAUUAGUAAUUUACUCAACUUCAGUUUCGACAAUAAUGUAUUUAAGUGUUCUAGAGUAUCCAAAUGAUUGUGAUAAUUUAUGAAUUAUCUAAUAAGUAAAGAAAUAAUAAAGUAUAUCAAUGGCAACAUAAGCAGAGUUGUAAACAAUAUGAGAUAGAAUUUCAGGAUUGAGACACACUUAACAAUCUUAUAAAUCUGUAUCCUUAUUGUGGUCAUAAUGAUUAUCAAGUUAUUGAUUCACAGGGUUUAGAUUACGAACAUUGUUUUCUGAUCCUCUAAUAUUCUACCUAAAUAUACAUUUGCAACUACAUCGUUGAGGGGAAUGCAAUAAUCCAUUUAGAUGCUUUAAGCUAUCUUCCUGCAAUUGAACCAAACAAGGCUUCUAGGUAUAUUCCUAUCCUAGUCACUACUUCAUCUUCAUCAUUAUGUAGAAGAAUACAAACUUGUUCCUUAAACUCCUUGGUCUAUCCCUAAGAUUCUCCUUCCGAUUUCACAAAGGAACUAUAGAUUCAUUCGAAUAGUGGCCAAUCAUUAUAAUGGUAGAAACAAGAGAAUAAAAUAACCCAUAUGAUAAAUCAACGUUAACCACUCUAAGAAUAUCAAAAUAUAAUCAUGUUCUUGGGAUCAACCCCAGAACAAGGGUGUUUAGCUACUCAUGUUCUAAAUCAACAUCACGGAAAUAUAAUUAAUCAUACCAAAAAUUAAUGUUGAAAUAUGAAAUGUUCAAAGAACCCUAAGAGAAGUAUUGUAAUUUCCUUUGCCUCUGCUGUACGUUUGCCAAAAGUGUCCCCAUUUGAUUUUAAGUGUUACUUUUAUGGUAGGACAAAAUUGAAUAAAAGUUGACCGUCACCGCACCACGGAGCUCAUUGCGUGCACUAGGGUCCGCACCGUGGACCCUCACUAGAAUAUGGCAUGAGAAAUAAUUCAGCCUCCACGAUACGAGGCUAUCACGGAGGCUUACUGGAAAUUGCUGUCGACUAAUAAUCCCUUAGAGUGAUAAGUACCCUAUCAUAGGGACUAAGGUACACAAAGCAGAGGCCAUUGUCCUUCCUUUCCGGCUCUUUGCCUCUUUCCUUGAUCCUGUCUUUAGUUCCAUGCUUUCCGAGCCCAUUUCCAGUAUCCUCAUGCUCAACAAAUCAGUCCCACUGCUUCCACCCACCAUUAGCUUCUCGUUAAUGCUUCCAAUUAUGUUCAAUUUCAUCAAAAUUUUGGCCUGCAUCAACAAAUCAUGUCCAUCAGAUAAAGAAUACAAUUAUAGGCUCAACACAAUACAAUGAACACAUUUUAGCUCAUAGAAAAAAUAUAACUAUGGGUAAAUAUUAGCAAUUGGAUGUAUAAAUAUGCCCAAGAUCAGAUGACGUCCACAAGAAGCCUUUGAUCCAUUAUGUCGGUCUCAG
rnacentral:lncRNA from 1 species